rnacentral:rRNA from 1 species
AAAGAGACCUUUAGUUUGAUACCCCGAAACCAGGUGAGCUACCCCGAGACAGCCUAUAUAAUUUAGGGCUAACCCGUCUCUGUGGCAAAAGAGUGGGAAGAGCUCCGGGUAGAAGUGACAGACCUACCGAACCUGGUGAUAGCUGGUUGCCUGAGAGAUGGAUAGAAGUUCAGCCCCAUAUACCCCAAACCAAGACCUUAUUUAAGAUACUAGGGAGACGUGUGGGAGUUAGUUAAAGGGGGUACAGCCCCUCUAACAAAGGAUACAACCUUUACAGGAGGAUAAAGAUCACAAUAUUUAAAACACACUGUUCUAGUGGGCCUAAAAGCAGCCAUCUAAACAGAAAGCGUUAAAGCUCAGACAGAAAAAAGUUUAUUAUACCGAUAAAAAAUCUUAUUCCCCUAACAAUAUCAGGCUACCCCAUGCCUACAUGGAAGAAAUUAUGCUAAAAUGAGUAACAAGAAGAUUUGUUCUUCUCCAGGCGCAAGUGUACACCAGAUCGGACAAGCCACUGGAAAUUAACGAACCCAAAUAAAGAGAGUACUGCGGACAAUAAAAAAACCAAGAAAAUCCCGCAAUUAAGUAAUCGUUAACCCCACACUGGAGCGCCAUAUUAAAGGAAAGACUAAAAGAAAGGGAAGGAACUCGGCAAACACAAGCCUCGCCUGUUUACCAAAAACAUCGCCUCCUGCAAAUAAAUUAAGUAUAGGAGGUCCAGCCUGCCCAGUGACUACGGGUUCAACGGCCGCGGUAUUUUGACCGUGCAAAGGUAGCGCAAUCACUUGUCUUUUAAAUAGAGACCUGUAUGAAUGGCUAAACGAGGGCUUAACUGUCUCCCCCUUCCAGUCAGUGAAAUUGAUCUAUCCGUGCAGAAGCGGGUAUAAUUCUACAAGACGAGAAGACCCUUUGGAGCUUAAGGUACAAAAUUCAACCACGUCAAACAACUAAAUAAAAAGCAAAAACUUAGUGAAGAAUGAAAUUUUACCUUCGGUUGGGGCGACCGCGGAGGAAAAACCAGCCUCCGAGUGGAAUGGGGUAAACCCCUAAAACCAAGAGAAACAUCUCUAAGCCGCAGAACAUCUGACCAUAAAUGAUCCGGCCGAACAGCCGAUCAACGAACCAAGUUACCCUAGGGAUAACAGCGCAAUCCUCUCCCAGAGUCCAUAUCGACGAGGGGGUUUACGACCUCGAUGUUGGAUCAGGACAUCCUAAUGGUGCAGCCGCUAUUAAGGGUUCGUUUGUUCAACGAUUAAA